rnacentral:rRNA from 1 species
UACGUAGGGUGCAAGCGUUAAUCGGAAUUACUGGGCGUAAAGCGUGCGCAGGCGGUCCGCUAAGACAGAUGUGAAAUCCCCGGGCUUAACCUGGGAACUGCAUUUGUGACUGGCGGGCUAGAGUAUGGCAGAGGGGGGUAGAAUUCCAGGUGUAGCGGUGAAAUGCGUAGAGAUCUGGAGGAAUACCGGUGGCGAAGGCGGCCCCCUGGACAAAGACUGACGCUGAGGCGCGAAAGCUAGGGGAGCAAACAGG